rnacentral:rRNA from 1 species
AACGAACGCUGGCGGCGUGCUUAACACAUGCAAGUGGAGCGACGAACCAGGGCUUGCCCUGGGGCAGAGCCGCGAACGGGUGAGUAACACGUGGGUAACCUGCCUCGAUGAUCGGGACAACCCGGGGAAACCCGGGCUAAUACCGAAUGUGCUCCGACCACAUCAGUGGACGGCGUAAAGGAAGCUUCGGCCUCCGCAUCGAGAUGGGCCCGCGGCCCAUUAGCUUGUUGGUGGGGUAAAGGCCCACCAAGGCUUCGAUGGGUAGCUGGUCUGAGAGGACGAUCAGCCACACUGGGACUGAGACGCGGCCUAGACUCCUACGGGAGGCAGCAGUGGGGAAUUUUGCGCAAUGCGCGAAAGCGUGACGCAGCAACGCCGCGUGGGGGAAGACGGCCUUAGGGUUGUAAACCCCUUUCAGGAGGGACGAAGGUCGGCGCGUUAAUAGCGUGUCCGACUGACGGUACCUCCACAAGAAGCCCCGGCUAACUACGUGCCAGCAGCCGCCGUAA